rfam:Tatumella morbirosei strain LMG 23360 Contig5, whole genome shotgun sequence.
GGUUAAGCGAAUAAGCGUACACGGUGGAUGCCCUGGCAGUCAGAGGCGAUGAAGGACGUGCUAAUCUGCGAAAAGCGCCGGUAAGGUGAUAUGAACCGAUACAGCCGGCGAUGUCCGAAUGGGGAAACCCGGUGCACUCAGUGCAUCAUCGCAACAUGAAUACAUAGUGUUGCGAGGCGAACCGGGGGAACUGAAACAUCUAAGUACCCCGAGGAAAAGAAAUCAACCGAGAUUCCCCCAGUAGCGGCGAGCGAACGGGGAGCAGCCCUGAACCAUCAUCAGUGUGUGUGUUAGUGGAAGCGUCCGGAAUGGCGCACGAUACAGGGUGAAAGUCCCGUACAUGAAAAUGCACAUACUGUGAGUUCGAAGAGUAGGGCGGGACACGUGGUAUCCUGUCUGAAUAUGGGGGGACCAUCCUCCAAGGCUAAAUACUCCUGACUGACCGAUAGUGAACCAGUACCGUGAGGGAAAGGCGAAAAGAACCCCGGCGAGGGGAGUGAAAAGAACCUGAAACCGUGUACGUACAAGCAGUGGGAGCACCCUUUGGGGUGUGACUGCGUACCUUUUGUAUAAUGGGUCAGCGACUUAUAUUCUGUAGCAAGGUUAACCGUAUAGGGGAGCCGCAGGGAAACCGAGUCUUAACUGGGCGUUAAGUUGCAGGGUAUAGACCCGAAACCCGGUGAUCUAGCCAUGGGCAGGUUGAAGGUUGGGUAACACUAACUGGAGGACCGAACCGACUAAUGUUGAAAAAUUAGCGGAUGACCUGUGGCUGGGGGUGAAAGGCCAAUCAAACCGGGAGAUAGCUGGUUCUCCCCGAAAGCUAUUUAGGUAGCGCCUCGUGAACUCAUCUCCGGGGGUAGAGCACUGUUUCGGCUAGGGGGCCAUCCCGGCUUACCAACCCGAUGCAAACUGCGAAUACCGGAGAAUGUUAUCACGGGAGACACACGGCGGGUGCUAACGUCCGUCGUGAAGAGGGAAACAACCCAGACCGCCAGCUAAGGUCCCAAAGUCAUGGUUAAGUGGGAAACGAUGUGGGAAGGCUCAGACAGCCAGGAUGUUGGCUUAGAAGCAGCCAUCAUUUAAAGAAAGCGUAAUAGCUCACUGGUCGAGUCGGCCUGCGCGGAAGAUGUAACGGGGCUAAACCAUGCACCGAAGCUGCGGCAGCGACACUAUGUGUUGUUGGGUAGGGGAGCGUUCUGUAAGCCAUUGAAGGUGGACUGUGAGGUCUGCUGGAGGUAUCAGAAGUGCGAAUGCUGACAUAAGUAACGAUAAAGCGGGUGAAAAGCCCGCUCGCCGGAAGACCAAGGGUUCCUGUCCAACGUUAAUCGGGGCAGGGUGAGUCGACCCCUAAGGCGAGGCUGAAAAGCGUAGUCGAUGGGAAACAGGUUAAUAUUCCUGUACUUGGUGUUACUGCGAAGGGGGGACGGAGAAGGCUAUGUCAUCCGGGCGACGGUUGUCCCGGUUUAAGCGUGUAGGCUGAGAUUCCAGGCAAAUCCGGAAUCUCUUAAGGCUGAGGCGUGAUGACGAGGUGCUACGGCACUGAAGUGACAAAUGCCCUGCUUCCGGGAAAAGCCUCUAAGCUCCAGGUAACACGAAAUCGUACCCCAAACCGACACAGGUGGUCAGGUAGAGAAUACCAAGGCGCUUGAGAGAACUCGGGUGAAGGAACUAGGCAAAAUGGUGCCGUAACUUCGGGAGAAGGCACGCUGGCGCGUAGGUGAAGGGACUUGCUCCCGGAGCUGAAGCCAGUCGAAGAUACCAGCUGGCUGCAACUGUUUAUUAAAAACACAGCACUGUGCAAACACGAAAGUGGACGUAUACGGUGUGACGCCUGCCCGGUGCCGGAAGGUUAAUUGAUGGGGUUAUCGCUCUGCGAGAAGCUCCUGAUCGAAGCCCCGGUAAACGGCGGCCGUAACUAUAACGGUCCUAAGGUAGCGAAAUUCCUUGUCGGGUAAGUUCCGACCUGCACGAAUGGCGUAAUGAUGGCCAGGCUGUCUCCACCCGAGACUCAGUGAAAUUGAAAUCGCUGUGAAGAUGCAGUGUACCCGCGGCAAGACGGAAAGACCCCGUGAACCUUUACUAUAGCUUGACACUGAAUAUUGAGCCUUGAUGUGCAGGAUAGGUGGGAGGCACUGAAGUACGGACGCCAGUUCGUACGGAGCCAUCCUUGAAAUACCACCCUUUAAUGUUUGAUAUUCUAACGUGGACCCGUUAUCCGGGUUGCGGACAGUGUCUGGUGGGUAGUUUGACUGGGGCGGUCUCCUCCCAAAGAGUAACGGAGGAGCACGAAGGUUAGCUAAUCACGGUCGGACAUCGUGAGGUUAGUGCAAAGGCAUAAGCUAGCUUGACUGCGAGAGUGACGGUUCGAGCAGGUGCGAAAGCAGGUCUUAGUGAUCCGGUGGUUCUGAAUGGAAGGGCCAUCGCUCAACGGAUAAAAGGUACUCCGGGGAUAACAGGCUGAUACCGCCCAAGAGUUCAUAUCGACGGCGGUGUUUGGCACCUCGAUGUCGGCUCAUCACAUCCUGGGGCUGAAGUAGGUCCCAAGGGUACGGCUGUUCGCCGUUUAAAGUGGUACGCGAGCUGGGUUUAGAACGUCGUGAGACAGUUCGGUCCCUAUCUGCCGUGGGCGCUGGAGAAUUGAGGGGGGUUGCUCCUAGUACGAGAGGACCGGAGUGAACGCACCACUGGUGUUCGGGUUGUCAUGCCAAUGGCAUUGCCCGGUAGCUAAGUGCGGAAAAGAUAAGUGCUGAAAGCAUCUAAGCACGAAACUUGCCCCGAGAUGAGUUCUCCCUGACCCUUUAAGGGUCCUGAAGGGACGUUGAAGACGACGACGUUGAUAGGCCGGAUGUGUAAGUGCAGCGAUGCAUUGAGCUAACCGGUACUAAUGACCCGUGAGGCUUAACCUU